rnacentral:rRNA from 1 species
GACGAACGCUGGCGGCGUGCCUAAUACAUGCAAGUCGGACGCAGUUGCGAACGGGUGAGUAAAGCGUAGGUAACUACCUAUCUGAGGGGGAUAAAUAUUGGAAACGCUAGCUAAUACCGCAUACUAGUAGAUGGACCUGCGUUGUAUUAGGUAGUAGGUUGGGUAAAUGCCUACCUAGGCAACGAUACAUAGCCGGCCCGGGAGGGGGGACGGGCACACUGGGACUGGGACACGGCCCAGAAUCCUACGGGAAGGAGCAGUAGGGAAAUUUCGGCAAAGGGGGGAACCCUGACCGAGCAACGCCGGGGUGGUGGAGAAGGUUUUCGGGUCGUAAAGCUCUGUUGUUAAGGGAGCGGUACUUAACCAGAAAGGGACGGCUAACUACGUGCCAGCAGCCGCGGUAAUUC